UACGUAGGGUGAAAGCGUUGUCCGGAAUUAUUGGGCGUAAAGAGCUCGUAGGCGGUCUGUCGCGUCUGCUGUGAAAACUCAGGGCUUAACCCUGAGCUUGCAGUGGGUACGGGCAGACUAGAGUGCGGUAGGGGAGACUGGAAUUCCUGGUGUAGCGGUGAAAUGCGCAGAUAUCAGGAGGAACACCGGUGGCGAAGGCGGGUCUCUGGGCCGUAACUGACGCUGAGGAGCGAAAGCAUGGGGAGCGAACAGG
rnacentral:rRNA from 1 species